AUGAUCGGCGGCCUCCUUGGUGGAGGACCACCGAACGCAGUGAGUCUUCUAGGCUGGAAUUGUCGGGGUAUCAGCAACACCCCGAUAAUUCAAGAGCUACACAAACUCGUGUUAAAGUUUGACCAUAAAGUUAUUUGUAUAGUAGAAACUCAAAUCAGUAGAGAGAGAGCUGAAAAGUUAGCAAAUACUUUAGGUUAUGAUUGCGCUUAUGGUGUUGAUCCCACUGGUAGAAGUGGUGGCCUUGCUAUGUAUUAG
rnacentral:rRNA from 1 species